UACGUAGGGUGCGAGCGUUAAUCGGAAUUACUGGGCGUAAAGCGUGCGCAGGCGGUAAUGUAAGACAGAUGUGAAAUCCCCGGGCUUAACCUGGGACCUGCAUUUGUGACUGCAUUGCUGGAGUGCGGCAGAGGGGAUGGAAUUCCGCGUGUAGCAGUGAAAUGCGUAGAUAUGCGGAGGAACACCGAUGGCGAAGGCAAUCCCCUGGGCCUGCACUGACGCUCAUGCACGAAAGCGUGGGGAGCAAACAGG
rnacentral:rRNA from 1 species